UUCGCAAUGCCCGAAAGGGUGACGAAGCGACGCCGCGUGGGUGAGGAAGGCCUUCGGGUUGUAAAGCCCUGUCAGGAGUUAAGAAAUGCAGGUGUGUUAAUACCAUGCCUGUUUGACGAAGGCUCCAAAGGAAGCCACGGCUAACUCUGUGCCAGCAGCCGCGGUAAUACAGAGGUGGCAAGCGUUGUUCGGAAUUAUUGGGCGUAAAGAGCACGUAGGUGGUUUUGUAAGUCAGGUGUGAAAGCCUUCUGUUUAAAGGAAGAACGGCAUCUGAAACUGCAGAUCUUGAGUGUAGGAGGGGAGAGUGGAACUUCUGGUGGAGCGGUGAAAUGCGUAGAUAUCAGAAGGAACGUCGGCGGCGAAAGCGACUCUCUGGCCUAUUACUGACACUGAGGUGCGAAAGUUAGGGGAGCAAACGGGAUUAGAUACCCCGGUAGUCCUAACCGUAAACGAUGGGCACUAAGUAGAGGGGUUUU
rnacentral:rRNA from 2 species